GGGCCUAAUGUAAUCACAGGCGUCCUUAUAAGAGGGAGCCAGGAGCAUCAGUCAGUCCUGAGAGAUAGGACUCAGCAGCUUAGAGUAGCACAGGGAAGGAGCCACGAGCCAAGGAAUACAAGGGGCCUUCAGAGCGGAAAAAGUCAAGGACACAAUUCUUCCCUGAAGCCUCCGGAAAGAAUGCAGCCCCACUGGCACCUUGACUGUAGACUUCUGACCUUCAGAACUGAUACUAAAUAUGAGCAAGGAGAUGUGCCAACAGUGAUGGAUGUUGGAAACAAUCUUGAGCUAGCAAAUAGCAUGAGGGAAUUGAAAUGUUUGAAAGAUGGGUUAUAUGGGAUGAAGAAAGAAAAAAAAGCAAUGUAUGAGAGUUCCUGUUGCUCUGUUUCCUUGACAGCAUCUGAUGUUAUCAGAGUUUUGCAUUUUGGCCAUUCUAAGAGGUGGAAGCAUAAAUCUGACCCAUUACUCCAUCUUUACUGGAAACAGAAGUCUAUCUAAUAGCACUUUUUUUAAUUUGAAGAAUUAAAGUAGAUGAUAAGGAAACGUGUUAUUCGUUAUGGCCACAUAUCUUCUCAUGAACUGGUAGAUUAAGAACCAUGCUCCUAAGAUGUGAAAUAUUUUGGCUACCAUUAAAAUUAAGAAAGGCAAUAGACAUAACUUGAACUAAUUUGAAGAAAGCCAAGACUUUUAUAAGACUACAUUUCUAAACUUAAAAGACAGUGUAGUGUGUCAAAGGGUGAAAUUCCUAACAGUGUGAAGUGGUGGCUUUAGCCAUUGAAGCAGCAUGGUAUCCUGAAGAUUGUCUUGUCAUGCUGGAAGGUCAGGUUCCAAAGGCUCACUAGAGAGGUUUCUCCCCACAGAGAAGGAAAGAAAGAGUGGCAGAAGUUUUCUGCACACUGUGAAGGUGACUUUGUUCUCAGUGUGAGAGCAGGGUGGUCACAGCUCUCUCAGCUGAACUUGCUGUAAGCCUAUCUAUAAUGCCUAGGCAGGGGGCGGAAAGGUGGGUUGGCUGUGGCCUUUUCUGCCCCCUCAUGACCUGAUAGCAUGAGUCUAGUGCUGACCAAAAUAAAGGAAAGAAGGACAAGGGACAAGAAAAA
rnacentral:lncRNA from 1 species